rnacentral:rRNA from 1 species
CCUACGGGAGGCAGCAGUGAGGAAUAUUGGGCAAUGGACGAGAGUCUGAACCAGCCAAGUAGCGUGAAGGAUGACUGCCCUAUGGGUUGUAAACUUCUUUUAUAUGGGAAUAAAAUGUUCCACGUGUGGGAUUUUGUAUGUACCAUAUGAAUAAGGAUCGGCUAACUCCGUGCCAGCAGCCGCGGUAAUACGGAGGAUCCGAGCGUUAUCCGGAUUUAUUGGGUUUAAAGGGAGCGUAGGUGGAUUGUUAAGUCAGUUGUGAAAGUUUGCGGCUGAACCGUAAAAUUGCAGUUGAAACUGGCAGUCGUGAGUACAGUAGAGGUGGGCGGAAUUCGUGGUGUAGCGGUGAAAUGCUUAGAUAUCACGAAGAACUCCGAUGGCGAAGGCAGCUACCUGGACUGCAACUGACACUGAGGCUCGAAAGUGUGGGUAUCAAACAGGAUUAGAUACCCCAGUAGUC